rnacentral:lncRNA from 1 species
AUGCUUGUUUUUAACUGUUGAGUAUAAAUAUUAAGGAUAAUAGUUUUUAAUAUUUUUUAAAAAAAUAAUUUUUUUAAUGGUUGUUUUAUAUAAUUUAAUAUAGUAUCAAAAUAGGAGAUCCUAAGUUUGAGUUCCGCCUACUCCAAGUGUUAUUUAAUUUUCUCUCAUGUAAUUCAAGCCUACGUUUUAUGUUAAUUAAAAAGUUUUGAGCUCAGACGUAAGAGUGAGCAUUAAAUAUAAAUACUAAAAACACCGCUCUUUUAAAACUUAAGCUGUCAGAAAAUAAUAUUUAUUUCAUAUUUCAUAUAAUUUAACGUUAACUAUAUUUUCCUUCUUUCAUUAAUUUAUUAAUUCCUUUUAUACCAGAAUG